GGAGUCCGGCAAACCAUAUGUUUAGCUAGGGCACAAAAAGAAAGCCGCUUGCACCCAUUCCAGCCAACCUAGCGAUUGGGAGCUCACCUAGGGUUUGAUUUGCCUUCAAAAUAAGUAUUUUUUUCUCCCUGCGUUCUGUAAGGUUCUUUGAUUUCUUCUCAGUCUUCUCACACGAUAGAAUUUGGUACCGACUCCCCUGGGAUUCCUGAAGCUCAAGAGUUUUUAAUCUAUCAAUACUGUGGGAGCUUUGAAUUUAACCACGCAGCUUGGAUAACAAAUUGAAAUGCGCAAAAUUGAUUCAAAAAUAUCGAAUUUGAUUGAAUGGAUAAUAGCGAAUUCCAUCUCUUGUUCAAUGCUUGCGACGUAUUUGUGAAUUUGAUUUAGCUUCGUGAUGCAUGACACUUGAUCUUUUAAAACAUCGUCGCUUUAACUCAUUCGCUGUGUCUUUGCCUGGUGCGUUAUGUGUCUGAUUACUUUUUUGUGUCAGGAAAGAGCUAAAGUUGAAACCUUUUCACGAAUGUCAUCUAAUAUUUAUUUCUUAGUAGCCUCCUUGUGAUAAACUAUGCGUUAUGGUGCUUUGCUAAUCAAAACCUUGUUGUAUUUAGCACUAUAUGCUGCAGAAGACAAGGAUUCUCCGACUGUCAUCCAUUUACAGCUUUCCAGUUGAUGACGUGCAGUACUGCUGAUGCAUUUUGCUUUUGUUAUUAAUCAUAGUAUGGUUUCUUGCAGCAGUAAAAUCAGUUUUGGUUUAGUCCUAAAUGAACCCUUCUUUGGAAAAUUCGUUAAUAUGCAUUGUCGAAGGAUGAGGGGAUAGGGGAUGUUUUCAUUUAUCCUUCUUCCUUAUGAAGUUUUAAUCUAUUCAAGUUGAAAUAAUCCUCACUGGCGGUCAUGCAUAAGUAGCUAUGUUCAUUAAACGCAACUGUGUCUUGUGUUAUCUCGCAAGUCUUUUUUUUUUUUAAUAUUCAGUCUCUGCAAUCCAUUGUAUGGUAUUUCUUACCUUUUCCGUGCCAUCUUUCCCUUUCCAUAUAGAGGUGUGAGCGAAGAAAAUGAAACAGCUUCUUCUCGAAAAUGCCCUGUUCCACGGCUAAAUGAAAGGAUUCUCUCAUCCUUGUCUAGUAGAUUGGUAGCUGCACAUCCUUGGCAUGAACUUGAAAUAGGUUGAUCAUGUUUUGUAUUCGUCGGUUAGUCUAUCCUCAUAAUUAUGGUUUCAAACCAUGCACACUUUGCGACGAUGGUGACUCUAUGGAUGUUUUGGUUCUGAUGCAGGUGACUUGAAAAUUUAUACCACUCAUCAGCAACUCGGUUUAGUUUACUUAGUUAUAUUUUUUUUUAUAUAUGUAUAUUUAUUUUUUAGCUGGCAAAACUACUUGAUAUGAUAGUCGAAAAUUCCAAUGAGUCCUCCCAGGUUUCUUAGUCUCAAUUCUUCUUUCGAGAAAACUGUACCUUGGUUUUUAAUUACUCUAUUCCUGAUUUUCUUUACUUUCUUUAUAUGGUCAUUAUCAAGUAUCAAGUUUGUGUCUCUGAUAAUGUUAUUGUCAUAGAAAUAUUGUUCUAUGAAUUACUGAAAGAUUCUUGAAUACUCUUGAUUUUUUUCCCUGACUAAAAGAUUCACCAAUUUAUUCCCAGGUAACUAAAUGAAUCAAUAUUUUUCAAUUGUUCACAAAUUUGUAAUUUAUUGAUAAAUUAUUCACAACUAAUUUAACAAACUUGUGUGUAUAACAAAUUAAUGAUGCUGUGUCAUUGGUGAUUUGUACUUCUUGCUACUCGCUCUUGUUCUUCUCUAUCCAAUGCUUGUAUUUACAUUAACACUUAUUUAAAUAUGCCAUUUAUAUUACAUUUUAUGUUCUGUUAAACUUUUGUUUCUCGCAUAUUUAAAUCCAGAUUCUUUCUGAACUUUUGGCAAGACCUCUGCAUUUUUGUAACUCCAGAUCUUUGCCCAUCUUGUUUUGAAGACUGAACCCAUGAAUUUGGUUACUAGAAACUGUUGAAAAUUAUAUUUAUUUUAACAACAAAUAUUGGAGCAGGAACCAGUCCUUCCUGGUUGCUUUCUUUGGGCAAGGGCCAUUGUGCUUAUGCCUAUGAUUGAUCAGGUAGUUUAUUUUGUAGCACGUGAAUAGCACAUGAACUAUGACUUCUUUUAUUUUUCUUUUCUUGUUUACUUUAAUCUGGGCUCCAUGCCUGCUUGUUCUGAUAGCAGGGUGAGAAAGAUGACAAAAUUACUGCAAUUUGUGCUGAUGAUCCUGAAUACCAUCACUACAAUGAUCUAAAUGAACUGUCUCCUAAUUCUUAAAGAACUUUCAUCUGUUAAUCUAUCAACUGUUUGACUACCCUCUUGGGAACACUAGAAUCUUUGACAAUGAUAUAGACAAAAAAAUGAGAAUUGCGGUUAAUGAAUUUUUACAAUUACCACCCAGGAAGCCAUCCAGCACUCCAUAUAAGUUGAAGUCAGCUACCUCAUGCUCAUAAGAGCAAGCAUGAUUUAUCCCCCUUUACUUUAAUGCCUAACAUCUCAAAUUUCCAUUCGUAUCAGUUUUUAAGCUAGUCAUUGAUCCUUUUUCAGAAUAUGAGUUGCUCGGCCUCUUUGAUAGCUAUUGACUUUUAUUAUUGACAAAAUGCAUGCUUCUUCUUAUGUUCCUCUUCUGAAAAUAUCUUUCUGGUGGAUGCCACUGCAAGGAUUUUUAUGCUGAGUACAUCUUGCAGAUCUUGAGGCUUUCAAUAAUGCAUUCCUCCAGCUAAACAGAGUGGGGAGAUAGAAAAAACUCAUCCUCUAUUAAUUUCAUUCUUUAAUUCAGUUUUGAAUUUUGCUGUCUCAGCUUGUAUCUGAAACAGUGAUCAGAUCACAUGGAUGCCUGAUGGUUUUUCAUGGUUGGCUUUUGCCUGAUUUUAUCCAUUCAGUGUUGCAUCUUGAUGUGUAAUUUUAUGUAGCUACAAAGCGAGCAAUUUGGGUAGAACCACUAACUGCCAUUUGGUGGUCCAUUUUCUCAAAAGAAGGAAGAUGACAUUUGGUCAAUUUUGGCAGGCUAGCAAAGUUGAAGGCUUCCAUGUGCUUUAUCGGAGAAUAUUUUGAAGCAUGGUUUAAUCCUUUCUAACAUGCAAGAAGCAAUUCAGAUUUUUCUUAUUCAUUGACUCACAAGUGAUUGUUAAAAACAAAUGGAGAGAUCAUGACUUUACGUAGUAUCAUGGUUAUGAAUUUUUUCGGUAAGCUCCGUGGUCAGUUGUAUGGAGUAUCAUGCUUUUUAGCAAUGUUUAAGCAAUUGAGACGAGCCUAGCACUAGAACUUUUUCGCUCUAGAAUGAUAUCUUUGUUGCUGCUUAUCCUCAUAAUGGUAGUUUCAUUUAUUGAUA